rnacentral:rRNA from 1 species
UACAGAGGUCUCAAGCGUUUGUUCGGAUUCAUUGGGCGUAAAGGGUGCGUAGGCGGCGCGGUAAGUCGGGGUGUGAAAUCUCGGAGCUUAACUCCGAAACUGCAUUCGAUACUGCCGUGCUUGAGGACUGGAGAGGAGACUGGAAUUUACGGUGUAGCGGUGAAAUGCGUAGAUAUCGGAGGAACACCGGGUGGCGAAGGCGGCAUUCUGGACCGAUAUUGACGCUGAGGAGCGAAAGCCAGGGGAGCAAAGCGGG